rnacentral:rRNA from 1 species
GAUGAACGCUGGCGGCGUGCCUAAUACAUGCAAGUCGAGCGAACAGACGAGGAGCUUGCUCCUCUGACGUUAGCGGCGGACGGGUGAGUAACACGUGGAUAACCUACCUAUAAGACUGGGAUAACUUCGGGAAACCGGAGCUAAUACCGGAUAAUAUAUUGAACCGCAUGGUUCAAUAGUGAAAGACGGUUUUGCUGUCACUUAUAGAUGGAUCCGCGCCGCAUUAGCUAGUUGGUAAGGUAACGGCUUACCAAGGCAACGAUGCGUAGCCGACCUGAGAGGGUGAUCGGCCACACUGGAACUGAGACACGGUCCAGACUCCUACGGGAGGCAGCAGUAGGGAAUCUUCCGCAAUGGGCGAAAGCCUAACGGAGCAACGCCGCGUGAGUGAUGAAGGUCUUCGGAUCGUAAAACUCUGUUAUUAGGGAAGAACAAAUGUGUAAGUAACUAUGCACGUCUUGACGGUACCUAAUCAGAAAGCCACGGCUAACUACGUG